rnacentral:rRNA from 1 species
AUUGAACGCUGGCGGCAGGCCUAACACAUGCAAGUCGAGCGAGCGGCGGACGGGUGAGUAAUGUAUGGGGAUCUGCCUGAUGGCGGGGGAUAACUACUGGAAACGGUAGCUAAUACCGCAUACCAUCAGAUGAACCCAUAUGGGAUUAGCUAGUCGGUGAGGUAACGGCUUACCAAGACGACGAGCCAUAGCUGGCCUGAGAGGAUGAUCAGCCACACUGUGACUGAGACACGGCCCAGACUCCUACGGGAGGCAGCAGUGGGGAAUAUUGCACAAUGGGCGCAAGCCUGAUGCAGCCACGCCGCGUGUAUGAAGAAGGCCUUCGGGUUGUAAAGUACUGUUGGUCGGGAGGCGUUACCGACAGAAAAAGCACCGGCUAACUACGUGCCAGCAGCCGCGGUAAUAC